rnacentral:rRNA from 1 species
UGGCUCAGGAUGAACGCUAGCGGCAGGCUUAACACAUGCAAGUCGAGGGGCAUCGGGAGUAGCAAUACUUGCCGGCGACCGGCGCAAGGGUGCGUAACGCGUGAGCAACAUGCCCGUAUCAGGGGGGAUAAUCCAUGGAAACGUGGUCUAAUACCCCAUAGUAAUUAUGUAAGGCAUCUUAUAUAAUUUAAAGCUUUGGUGGAUACGGAUUGGCUCGCGUGACAUUAGCUAGAUGGUAAGGUAACGGCUUACCAUGGCUACGAUGUCUAGGGGUUCUGAGAGGAAGGUCCCCCACACUGGAACUGAGACACGGUCCAGACUCCUACGGGAGGCAGCAGUGAGGAAUAUUGGACAAUGGAUGGAAAUCUGAUCCAGCCAUGCCGCGUGCAGGAAGAACCGGCCCUAUGGGUUGUAAACUGCUUUUGUAUGGGAGCAAUAAGGGCUACGCGUAGUCCGAUGAGAGUACCAUACGAAUAAGCACCGGCUAACUCCGUGCCAGCAGCAGC